rnacentral:rRNA from 1 species
AUUGAACGCUGGCGGCAGGCCUAACACAUGCAAGUCGAGCGAGCGGCGGACGGGUGAGUAAUAUCUGGGAAUCUGCCCGAUAGAGGGGGAUAACUACUGGAAACGGUGGCUAAUACCGCAUACUAUCGGAUGUACCCAUAUGGGAUUAGCUUGUGGGUGGGGUAACGGCUCACCUAGGCGACGAUCCCUAGCUGGUCUGAGAGGAUGAUCAGCCACACUGGGACUGAGACACGGCCCAGACUCCUACGGGAGGCAGCAGUGGGGAAUAUUGCACAAUGGGCGCAAGCCUGAUGCAGCCAUGCCGCGUGUAUGAAGAAGGCCUUAGGGUUGUAAAGUACUUUCAGCGGGGAGGCGUUACCCGCAGAAGAAGCACCGGCUAACUCCGUGCCAGCAGCCGCGGUAAUUC